GGACCUGCCCGGACAGAGUGGGGAAGUCAGAGCAGCUCAGAGGGGUGCUCACAGCUGCUGGUGGGGAGGUCUUUGGGGCCCAAGCCCCCAAGUCCAGCCCUGGAGCUGAGGCCCCUGCUGGUGCCAUGAACCCCUUACAGUGAGACGGGGAUGGGGUGGGGUCCUCACAAGGCAUGACUGAGGGGGUUGGUUUUAUUUCAGAGCCGCACAGGGCCUUGCUCUGUCACCCAGGCUGGAGGACAGCGGCUCCAUCAUGGAUCACUGCAGCCUCUAACCCCUGGGCUCAAGCAAUCCUCCUAUGUCAGCCUCCCUGGAAGCCUGGACUGCAGGUGACGGAAACAGAGGGGGCUGUUUCAACCACCAACAGGAGAGAAGCGGAAGGGCUGGGCCGUGCUGGAGUCCUCAGGGAGGGAGCGACCUCGACCCUGGCUGUGCUGCAAGCUGACUCCAGCCCUGGGGUCAGCAGCUCCUGGAGAACAGCAGCAGGAGGUGGCGUGAGAGCAGCCGCCCAUGGGCAGAGCCACGCUUGGGAAACUCCCGCUGCCACCCUAUCCCCAGGCAGCCUAAGGCAGGGGAGGCUCAGCAUGGAAUGAAAUAAGGGAGGGAGGGACACAAGGAGGUGAGAGGGCCCCAGCCCCACCAGCUACACAUAGACCACCUCAUCACCCUGGACACCACAGGGGCACUUGCAGGCUGGGAGAGCCGGUCCUCUGUGCAUGGGCCUGGAAGGCAGACCUGCUCUAAGGGUGAUGUGAAGGCUACAUGGCUGCACGGGCCAGCCUUCCGCUUUAGCCAUCAGCCUCCAGGUUGACUAAGGGUCAGACCAGGACUGAACCCGUGCUUGACAGGCCCAGGACCUGUGGCUACAGCACCCGGACACCCUCAUUCAGCCCUGGUCUGCAGAAAGGAGGACAGCGGAGUUUAGGACCCCACAGCAUGGCAGUGCUGACCAUUUCAUCCUCUUGGUCUCCUGAAGGAAUAGGGACAGCAAGCCCUCUGGGAACCAGCGAGGGCUUCAGGACAGGCUGAGUUCUGACCCCUGCUUUCUCAGGUUGGUUAAAAGGCCAACCAUGACGAGGUGGCACAGCUUGGGUUCCCACAUCUCACUUUUCACAGCCCCCAAGGGCAGCAAUGGGCGAGGAGAUGCCUCCCAGGACGCCAAGGCCUCCGGUGCUCACCAAUGCCCUCAGCGAAGUUGGGGUAGAACUCAUCAGUGAAGAGGGGCUCAGGCAGCUCACGGAAGUAGAGCUUCAGCGUGCCUGCGAUGGCGUUCACGUCCAUCUCGCUCAUCAUCACUGACACGUCCUUGUUAUCUGGAAAGAGAAUGGAAGUGCUGCAGCCUCCUUGAGGAUCCUGAAACAGUAAAUGAAGACAAGACAGAGAGAAGGAUGUGACAUGCCUGGGCAGUGUUGGAGCGCUGUGAGAUCUCAUCAUGGACACCGCUGCCCACACCCACUCCCGUCCUGCCCAGGCCGACACUCACUGACGU